UGCCUGUCGCGAUAGAUGGGGCCGUGCUGCGCAAGCAGCCGCUGCCCAGAGGGGCUCUGAGCGUGCAGCCGCGAUAGCCCCCAGGCAUCCUCCUAGCUCUGCCCUCAGAACCCGCCAGCCCCGCACAUCUCCGGGUGCCCUCGCUCCCCUCGGGCUUUUUUUGGGGAAAAUUUCCCCCAAAACGCCUGGAUUCAUCAAGCACCUGGUCCAGCCUGUAAGAGGCUCUUUCUCCUUGCCCGACUACUCGCUGUCGCCAAGGCCUGCUUCAAUUUGAACAAUCUAAAGUCACAAAUCUCAUCGUUACUACUCAUUUUCUUCUUAGAACUGCAGUGGCCACAGAUCCAACUAGAGGCUGGUCUGAAGACUCCCCCAGAAGUGUGAACCUUAGUAAGAUAACUUGGCUGUGAUGGUGUUCACAGGGGUCUCAGGUUGAGGGAAGAGACGAGGAUCUGAC
rnacentral:lncRNA from 1 species